rnacentral:rRNA from 1 species
UACGUAGGUGGCUAGCGUUGUUCGGAUUUACUGGGCGUAAAGCGCACGUAGGCGGAUUGUUAAGUGAGGGGUGAAAUCCCAGGGCUCAACCCUGGAACUGCCUUUCAUACUGGCAAUCUCGAGUCCGGAAGAGGUGAGUGGAACUCCUAGUGUAGAGGUGGAAUUCGUAGAUAUUAGGAAGAACACCAGUGGCGAAGGCGGCUCACUGGUCCGGUACUGACGCUGAGGUGCGAAAGCGUGGGGAGCAAACAGG